GACGAACGCUGGCGGCGUGCUUAACACAUGCAAGUCGAACGAAGUGGCGAACGGGUGAGUAACGUGUAAUCAACCUGCCCUUCAGAGGGGGACAACACUUGCAAACGCCUGCUAAUACCCCAUACUGCAGGAUGGGAGUGCGUCGGCUUAGCUAGUUGGAGGGGUAACGGCCGACCAGGGCGAUGAUCAGUAUCCGGGCUGAGAGGAUGAACGGCCAAAAUGGGACUGAGGAACGGCACAGAGUGCGACGGGAGGAAGCAGUGGGGAAUCUUCCGCAAUGGACGAAAGGCUGACGGAGCAACGCCGGGUGAGUGAUGACGGGCUUCGGGUUGUAAAGCUCUGUUAAUCGGGACGCGGUACCGGAAUAGAAAGCCACGGCUAACUACGUGCCAGCCGCCGCGGUAAUAC
rnacentral:rRNA from 1 species